rnacentral:lncRNA from 1 species
AUGCACCGUUUUCCAUUUCUUUUUAUUUGGCAUAACCCUUUUUACUUUCUUAACAAUUCAUUAAUGCAAAUCAAUCCACCGGCACCAAUGACCCUCGCCAUCACAGGCGAGGAUUGGAUGAUUUCAGCGUAGACAACGGUUUCGAUUUGAUUCGUUCGGUGUAGACGACGUUUUCGAUUUGAUUCGUUCAGCAUAGACGGCAGUUUCGAUUUGGUUCGUUCCGUGCAGACGGCGGUUUCGAUUUGGUUCGUUCGGUGUGGAAGACACUUAGGUUUAUUCAGGUAUAUAGUUGAUGAAUUUGAUGGAGUUGUUUGGUGCCCAGAUGGGGUGUUUUGGUUAAACUAUUUAUUUAACUUGGUUCGUAUAAACCACUCAAUAUAGAGUUGUAGAUCAUGUGGAUAUGAAUUAUAAAGAGACAAUUUGACAAAAGUAACGUUCACAUCUAAACUAUAAAGAAGACCUUAGGACACGCUUCAACUUUACACAAUCAACCGAAGCCGAGGCAUAAGUUAACGGGCCCGGAUAACUGCCUUAAUUAGUGAUGUGAGACCAGUGAAAACCGGCAUAAAUGGGUGUGGGAACUGGUCCCGUCGGGGAUUUUCACCGUCAUCACUCAUCUCUUGCAGAAAACGGUUGCUCCAACAU